rfam:TPA: Bos taurus chromosome 22, whole genome shotgun sequence.
UCUCUGGUGGUCCAGUGGCUAAGACGCUGCACUCUCAAUGCAGGGGACCCAGGUUCAGUGCCUGGUUAGGGAA